AACGAACGCUGGCGGCAUGCCUAACACAUGCAAGUCGAACGAGACCUUCGGGUCUAGUGGCGCACGGGUGCGUAACGCGUGGGAAUCUGCCCUUAGGUUCGGAAUAACUUCGGGAAACUGAAGCUAAUACCGGAUGAUGACGUAAGUCCAAAGAUUUAUCGCCUAAGGAUGAGCCCGCGUUGGAUUAGCUAGUUGGUGAGGUAAAGGCUCACCAAGGCGACGAUCCUUAGCUGGUCUGAGAGGAUGAUCAGCCACACUGGGACUGAGACACGGCCCAGACUCCUACGGGAGGCAGCAGUGGGGAAUAUUGGACAAUGGCGAAAGCCUGAUCCAGCAAUGCCGCGUGAGUGAUGAAGGCCUCGGUUGUUAAGG
rnacentral:rRNA from 1 species